rnacentral:rRNA from 1 species
UACGGAGGGUGCAAACGUUACUCGGAAUCAUUGGGCGUAAAGCGCACGUAGGCGGUCUUUUAAGUUGGAUGUGAAAGCCCUGGGCUCAACCCAGGAAGUGCAUUCAAAACUGAAAGGCUUGAGUAUGGAAGAGGGUCUCGGAAUUCCCGGUGUAGAGGUGAAAUUCGUAGAUAUCGGGAGGAACACCAGUGGCGAAGGCGGAGACCUGGGCCAAUACUGACGCUGAGGUGCGAAAGCGUGGGGAGCAAACAGG